rnacentral:rRNA from 1 species
CCUACGGGAGGCAGCAGUGAGGAAUAUUGGUCAAUGGCCGGAAGGCUGAACCAGCCAUGCCGCGUGAAGGUCAGUGCCCUAUGGGCGUUAAACUUCUUUUGUGCGGGAGCAAUAAUGGUCACGUGUGGCCAGACGAGAGUACCGUACGAAUAAGCAUCGGCUAACACCGUGCCAGCAGCCGCGGUAAUACGGGGGAUGCAAGCGUUAUCCGGAUUUAUUGGGUUUAAAGGGUGCGUAGGCUGUGAGGUAAGUCAGCGGGGAAAUGCCCCCGCUCAACGGGGUGAAGUGCCAUUGAUACUGCCUUGCUGGAAUGCUGAUGCCGUGGGAGGAAUGUGUGGUGUAGCGGUGAAAUGCAUAGAUAUCACACAGAACACCGAUUGCGAAGGCAUCUCACGAAUCCGCGAUUGACGCUGAUGCACGAAAGCGUGGGUAUCAAACAGGAUUAGAUACCCGAGUAGUG